UACGUAGGGGGCGAGCGUUGUCCGGAAUGAUUGGGCGUAAAGGGCGUGUAGGCGGUUCAUUAAGUCUGAAGUGAAAGUCCUUUUUUCAAGGGAGGAAUUGCUUUGGAUACUGGAGAACUAGAGUGCAGGAGAGGUUAUCGGAAUUCCCGGUGUAGCGGUGAAAUGCGUAGAGAUCGGGAGGAACACCAGUGGCGAAGGCGGGUAACUGGACUGCAACUGACGCUGAGGCGCGAAAGUGUGGGGAGCAAAC
rnacentral:rRNA from 1 species